rnacentral:rRNA from 1 species
UACGUAGGCAGCGAGCGUUGUUCGGAAUUACUGGGCGUAAAGAGUGUGUAGGCGGUUUUCUAAGUUUGGUGUGAAAUCUCCCGGCUUAACUGGGAGGGUGCGCCGAAAACUGGAAGGCUUGAGUGCCGGAGAGGAUAGCGGAAUUCCCGGUGUGAGCGGUGAAAUGCGUAGAUAUCGGGAGGAACACCUGUGGUGUAGACGGCUAUCUGGACGGCGACUGACGCUGAGACACGAAAGCGUGGGUAGCAAACAGG